AUGAGUAGCAGCAGCAGCAAGAAAUAGAGCUCCAGUACCAGAACCACCAUGAGAAUGUUCUAUGAUAACAUUAUCAGAAAGAUCAUUGCCAAGCAUUUCCCAAACACUACUAUGAAGAUAAUUUCUGAAAAUUCGCUCCGGCUAAGCGAGCACCCCGCUCUGUUACUAUGUCACAAACCUCUGCAACCACUUCGCGUGCCAUCGGACUGCUGCUACUUAUCUGAGUUGUUUUUGUUUAAUUUCAUACUACUACUUCACGAUCCUCUGAUGUAUCUUGAUGCAUAGCAGCCAUAUCUGGUGACCUAAAUUAGUUAAGUGACAAACCUGUGAGAUUAUAAUUGAAUUAACAUUUCCUAUGUGAUGUUAGAAACUAAUUAAUACUAGUAUUCCAUGUUGUGGGGGACUUGAAUUAUCUUUUUAUAUAUAUAUAUAUAACUUGUUCCUUUAA